UACGUAGGGGGCAAGCGUUGUCCGGAUUUAUUGGGCGUAAAGAGCGUGUAGGCGGCCAAGCAGGUCCGCUGUGAAACUCGAGGCUCAACCUCGAGACGUCGGUGGAAACCGUUUGGCUAGAGUCCGAAGAGGAGAGUGGAAUUCCCGGUGUAGCGGUGAAUGACGCAGAUAUGGGAAGAACACCCGUGGCGAAGGCGGCUCUCUGGGACGGUACUGACGCUGAGACGCGGAAAGCGUGGGGAGCGAACAGG
rnacentral:rRNA from 1 species